rnacentral:lncRNA from 1 species
GUUGCCAAAUGGUGAUGCUCUAAUUCUGCCUCCUUCUAGAUUUAUUAGUUUGCAUUUUGUAAGGGAAAUCUUCAUUCACUUCAUCGAUGCACGUAUCCUCUUAUAGCUGGAUGGAUUCAUAGAUUUCUAAUUUAUACAAAGUGGUUCAUCGUGUAUUUUUUUUUUCUUCCUACCAGAACCUUGAGAAAUGAGUCCUCAUUUGUCCAAGAACACUUGGCUCUUCUAGGGAAGACGGUAUUACAUUGUGAUUUAGAAGCCCAGAUCAGUACUAGAGGGGUUCACUGCUGCUGGGCUGCUGUUUUGUAUUUGUCAAAAGACAGAGCCUUCUCGGGACGGUGUGAGAUGAUGAAAUGCCUGUGGGACAGCAUGACGGGAGGUGCGGGACCCCAGCAUGUGACAGAGUGUCAGGCUGCCCCGGACUUCAGACAACAUGUCAGAAGGAGGGGCCUCUGCUUCCAGAUGGGCCACCGACAGCUGUAUGUGGGUAAUUCAGACCACGGAAAAGCAAAACUACAGGUAAGAGGGAACUCAUAUACGUAUGUAGAGCAUAAAUUAGCAAUUUUCUUGAUUAUUUUUUCAGUUGGACAUAUACAAGAACCAUGAAUCAUUUCUUCAAUUGAACAUACCUCUGGUAUUCCCAAUGGCUACAACUGUAAAAAAAGUCAAAUUUGUGAACAUGGC